AAGUCUGUUUGUUUGUCAGCACAAAGUGGAAUUGCUCCCUGCGGCCUGGCAAUUCAAAGAGAGGGCCUCAGAACCGAGAGGCGAGGGAUCAUUGUGCCAAGCUAGUUAGAGGAAUGUAAACGUUUGCAGUCCUGACUGCCAGCAGCACGGCUGGAAGGUCUGGGGGCAUCCAGUAAACGGACAGAGCAGGGGAGAGAGCAACCAUUUCAGCUUCCAAAUGGCCCGUUGCAAGGGGAGCUUGUUUUCUCCAAAACCAGCCGCGAGGCGCGGGCCUCAACUCUAACCUUUGUCGGAAAGCAGAAAAAAGAAAAUUUUCCAUCCCCGGAGAAUAAAGUGUACAGUUCCUUGAGAACGGAUUGCCUGUCUCCUUUCCUGCCCACCUACUAUGAAGAGCAGCUCCUCCCACCUGCCCAUAAAAGCCAAGUGCAUGUUACCAGCAGCUGAUCAGAGCCCUUUCUCAGCCCUCUCUCUACUGUUGGGAGCCACUGAUCUUCUCUCCUAGAAUCACACAUGCUCAAGGUAAGAAAAACUUCUUCAGUCAUUUGACUAUCCAGGCUUUUGCUGGGG
rnacentral:lncRNA from 1 species